rnacentral:rRNA from 1 species
GAUGAACGCUGGCGGCGUGCCUAAUACAUGCAAGUCGAGCGAACAGACGAGGAGCUUGCUCCUCUGACGUUAGCGGCGGACGGGUGAGUAACACGUGGAUAACCUACCUAUAAGACUGGGAUAACUUCGGGAAACCGGAGCUAAUACCGGAUAAUAUAUUGAACCGCAUGGUUCAAUAGUGAAAGACGGUUUUGCUGUCACUUAUAGAUGGAUCCGCGCCGCAUUAGCUAGUUGGUAAGGUAACGGCUUACCAAGGCGACGAUGCGUAGCCGACCUGAGAGGGUGAUCGGCCACACUGGAACUGAGACACGGUCCAGACUCCUACGGGAGGCAGCAGUAGGGAAUCUUCCGCAAUGGGCGAAAGCUUGACGGAGCAACGCCGCGUGAGUGAUGAAGGUCUUCGGAUCGUAAAACUCUGUUAUUAGGGAAGAACAAAUGUGUAAGUAACUAUGCACGUCUUGACGGUACCUAACCAGAAAGCCACGGCUAACUACGUG